rnacentral:pre_miRNA from 1 species
CAAGUACUCCCUCCGUCCGAAAUUACUUGUCAUCAAAAUGGAUGUGUCUAGAACUAAAAUACAUCUAGAUACAUCCAUUUCAAUGACAAGUAUUUUCGGACGGAGGGAGUAUAAG